GACGAACGCUGGCGGCGUGCUUAAUACAUGCAAGUCGAACGGAAAGGCCCUGCUUUUGUUGGGUUCUCGUUUGGCGAACGGGUGAGUAACACGUGAGUAACCUGCCCUUGACUUUCUGAUAACUUCAGGAAACUGGGGCUAAUAUCGGAUAGGAUCUCCUGCUGCAUGGUGGGGGUUGGAGAGUUUCGGCGGUUGGGGCUGUACUCGCUGGUUAUCAGCUUGUUUGUGUGGUAGUGGCUUACCAAGGCUUUGACGGGUAGCCGGCCUGAGAGGGGGACCGGCGACCAGGGGCCUAAGAGAGGGACCAGUAUCCUACGGGAGGCAGCGGGGGGAAAUCUGGCAGAACGGGGGGAAGCCUGAUGCAGAAACGCCGCGAGCGGGAUGACGGCCUUCGGGUUGUAAACAGAUUUCGACUGAAACGAAGAGUGAGUGACGGUAACGGAUAAGGAAGCACCGGCUAACUACGUG
rnacentral:rRNA from 1 species